UUUUGGAUAGUAAUGUACCGUUAUUCAUAAAUACAGCUAAAUACUGUAAAUGUUGACUCCUUGGGGGAACAAAAUAAUAACAGCAAGCUACUGUACAAUCUCACUUUGUAUCUCAGUAUUUUUUGUUUUGUUGCCCAAGUCUGCCAUAACCCAUCUGAGCACAGCCAUGUUGCUUCAUCCCACCAUGUCAUUGAGCACAUGGUUAAUAUAAUAAAAUAAAAUAAAAAUGUUGUUCAGUAUUACAUAGUAUCACAUUAGUAUAACAUAGAAGGAAGGAUGAUAAAGAGAUAAAGAGCUGAAGAUGAUUUUCACCUGGAUUCUGACCCUGCAGCCCUGAAGUGGACGAAGCGGAUCACCACAUGUUGCUUUCUUCCUGCCUACUAAGCCUGCACACCGUUAUCCAUCCUGUGUUUGUGGCUCACUUAACAAGGCACUUCAGUGGUAUCAACCCCAAGAGGGGAACAAAGGUCAGCCAGGGGAAGGUGAAUCCCAAGAAGACCAGGAAGCUGGUCCAGAAAAACGCAGCAACUGUGAAUCCCCAUGUGGCCACCAUGAGUGAGACUUUAUGUAGUCUACAACACAUCCCCACACAGGACUUAUAGCUGAGUCCAGUUGUUUGAGUUGAGUAGUGAUAGUUCCAGGUUUGUUUCUAUUUCUAUCUCAUUCGCUUUCUAUUGCACGUCAUCAUCAUAACUCAUGGACACUGAAGGCAGGGUACAGUUUUAAGUAUGGUAUGAAAAUUGUUGAAAGAACCUGCUUGAGAUGAUUAAUUAUUGUUAUGGAUUGUAUUUUACAAGAAUUACAGUACUUGAAAUUUGUUAGCUGCUUAAGGUGUAUGAAGCAGUGGCUUUAAUACAUAAUGUUACAUGGCCACCUCUUGUUCAAUCAAAAAUUAAACUGAAUAUAGGGUACAUGGACGAGGCUAGUAAAGCAAGAACCGCUUCAGAAAUUGCAUGUUACUGUAUUGUAUUUUAAAGAAAUGUACUUAUUUUAAAAUUUCUCACAUUGACUUUAAUAAAUGCCAAAUAUUGUAAGGCCAA